GACGAACGCUGGCGGCGUGCCUAAUACAUGCAAGUAGAACGCUGAAGAGAGGAGCUUGCUCUUCGUGGAUGAGGUGCGAACGGGUGAGUAACGCGUGGGUAACCUGCCUGGUAGCGGGGGAUAACUAUGGGAAACGAUAGAUAAUACCGCAUAAGAUGGAGUAUCGCAUGAGAAGCCAGUGAGAGGUGCAAAUGCAUCACUACCAGAUGGACCUGCGGUGUUUUAGCUUGGUAGUGGGGUAACGCCGCUCCAAGGCGAGGACACAUAGCCGACCUGAGAGGGUGGGCGGCCAGCCUGGGACUGUGACCCGGCCCAGACUCCUUCGGGUGGCAGCCGUAGUGCAUCUUCGGCAAUGGGCGGAAGUCUUUCCGAGCUACGCCGCGUCAGUGUGGAAGGUUUUCGGAUCGUAAAGCUCUGUUGUAAGAUAAUAACGAGUGUUAGAGUGGAAAGUUCACACUGUGACGGUAUCUUACCAGAAAGGGACGGCUAACUACGUG
rnacentral:rRNA from 1 species